UAUGACCAUACAAAGUCGAAACACCUGUUCUCAUCCGAUCACCGAAGUUAAGCAACGUUGAAACUGGUCAUUACCUAGAUGGGUGACUGCUCGGGAAUACCAGGUGCUGUAAG